rnacentral:rRNA from 1 species
UGGGGAAUAUUGCACAAUGGGCGAAAGCCUGAUGCAGCAACGCCGCGUGAGUGAUGAAGGCCUUCGGGUUGUAAAGCUCUGUCUUUUGGGACGAUAAUGACGGUACCAAAGGAGGAAGCCACGGCUAACUACGUGCCAGCAGCCGCGGUAAUACGUAGGUGGCAAGCGUUGUCCGGAUUUACUGGGCGUAAAGGAUGCGUAGGCGGAUUUUUAAGUGAGAUGUGAAAACCCUAAGCUUAACUUGGGGACUGCAUUUCAUACUGGAAAUCUAGAGUGCGGGAGAGGAGAAUGGAAUUCCUAGUGUAGCGGUGAAAUGCGUAGAGAUUAGGAAGAACACCAGUGGCGAAGGCGAUUCUCUGGACCGUAACUGACGCUGAGGCAUGAAAAGCGUGGGUAGCAAACAGGAUUAGAUACCCUGGUAGUCCACGCCGUAAACGAUGAGUACUAGGUGUAGGAGGUAUCGACCCCUUCUGUGCCGCAGUUAACACAAUAAGUACUCCGCCUGGGAAGUACGAUCGCAAGAUUAAAACUC